rnacentral:rRNA from 1 species
UAAUGUCUGGGAAACUGCCUGAUGAGGGGGAGUAACUAACUGGAAACGGUAGCUAAUACCGCAUAAUGUCGCAAGACCAAAUGGGGGACCUUCGGGCCUCAUGCCAUCAGAUGUGCCCAGAUGGGAUUAGCUAGUAGGUGGGGUAACGGCUCACCUAGGCGACGAUCCCUAGCUGGUCUGAGAGGAUGACCAGCCACACUGGAACUGAGACACGGUCCAG